UUAAAAAUUUCUAAUAUUUUUAUCUGAUUGCAACCAAAUUUUCAGGAAUCACAAAGACUAUAGUUAUUAUUGUAUAUACCACAAUUCCAGCUUUAAAAUUACGGUGCCUUCUAACAUAACAAGUGCUGUCGAAAAAAUUAUUUUUCUGUCUCUUAUAGUCUGUGAAAUCUAGGUGUUUAUUCGGACAGACGGACAUGACUAUAUCGUCUCGGCUUGACGUUCAUCAAGAAUGUGUUACCACCACAGAAAUUCAUAUUUUUAUGUUAACAUCUUACAAAUGCUGCAACAUAUGACUAAGGUCAUAUGAGAAAGGUUGCUUUAGGGACAGUGUAACCGUUUAUAUACUCUAUGGUAUAGUAAUUUAAUUUCUUUGAAAGUCAAAAAGGCUAUCGGAUAUCAGAAUCGAGUCUUUCAAGUAUUGUUAAGCAUGUCAUUUUCUGUUAGGAGACAACGACUGUUCCUCAACGACUGUAAUGUAAUAUUUCUUAAAUAAUGGCAUUUUUUCCAAAAACUCAACAAUGAUUCUAAACUUAAUUGCUUGUGAAUAAUAUAAUGGAAGUAUGGAAGUUAUAA